rnacentral:tRNA from 1 species
GGCGAGAUAGCUCAGAUGGCUAGAGCAUUGGAUUCAUAACCCAAAGGUCAGGGGUUCGAUUCUCCUUCUCGCUA